UGGGGGAUCGUCUAACGGCAGGACUACGGCCUUUGAAGCCGUCUAUGAAGGUUCGAAUCCUUCUCCCCCAG
rnacentral:tRNA from 1 species